CCAUCUAAUCAGAACUUACAAUAGAGGGACUGAAUCACAUGAUAAUUGUACCUAGAGAUUCAUCAUCUUUUAUUCUGCUGGAUUGCCACUACAUACUGUUAGAUGUCACUGGUGGAUUGUGAGAUCCACGAGUAUCAUCUUGAUGAUCGAUGAUCCUUGAUGGGUAGAGUUGGAAUAGUUCCAACCUAUUGAAAGAAGUUUCAAUGAUACUGUG
rnacentral:lncRNA from 1 species